rnacentral:tRNA from 1 species
GGGCGGGUAGUUCAGUGGCUAGAACGCCUGUCUUACAAACAGGAGGUCAGAGGUUCGACUCCUCUCUCGCCCACCA